AUCUUUCUGUGAAUCCUAUUGAGUCCAAAACUGGGGAAGCUUACAUCCCCUGCCUGGGGAUCACUCCACCUGUAGUGACAAUCCUAGUGAGCUCACCAGCCAGGACCCUAGGUUAUCCUUUGAGUCACCUCAUGGUGACAGGGAGAAAUUCCAGUCACAGACCUGCCAACCUAACUGGAAUAAAACUGGAAUAUACCUAGAAACUGUGUGGAAGGAGAUGGACCCAAAUUAUCUCCAGAGAUAAAGGAAAUAAAGAAAGAGUUAUCUUAAUACUCAUGGGCACCUCAGGUGGAAACUUUCUCUCCUCUAAUGUCUCAAGCAUUGUCCUUAGAAGACAGAGCUUACAAUGAAAGCUCUACAGGAAAACAGGAUUUGGAUUUCAAAGUUCAGCUUUUGUUCACCUCAAGUUGCUGGAAAGAUAGCAUUGACAUUGAACACCAUCUGUGAAUGGCCCGUUUAAGAAGUUAUAGAGUCCACUUUUACCCUAAUAUAUCCCCUGUAUGUCUUGCAUUGUGCCAAAGUUCCCAUCAUUAUUCUAUUUGUAGUUUAAAGCAAUGAAGGUUGCUGUUGAACUCAUUCAGUAUAAUAUCAUUGUGCUAACACCUGUAAGUGAUUGAAUUGGUUCUGUUCUGGAUAAAAAUUUUACAUCACUGUAUUAAUGUCAGCUACCUGACAGAAUU